rnacentral:tRNA from 1 species
AGGGGAGUGGCUCAAUUGGUAGAGUAGCGGUCUCCAAAACCGCUGGUUGCAGGUUCGAGUCCUGUCUCCCCUGCCA